UUUUUAAACAUCAAUCGUAUACAUACUUCAUUUGUACAUCAAUCACGAGUCACGGCCACUUUAUGUAUCUUUAUCUUAAAAGGCAAGAUAAUAAUAAAACUUUCACAUUUUAAUGUUUCCAAAAAAAAACAACUUAAUGUUUGUAUACAUUUUAAAAAAAGACAAAACAAUAUAGAAAUCAUCUCAUACUCAAAUUCUCUAACUCACAUUU